AUGUCUACGGGUAUGCUUCCACGCGUGAAAUAUUAUACAACAUAUCUGACGGGAGGGGUUUCAUGUAGGGAAGAGAUUAUUCUGGUCCGGCUAUUUCCGGAAUCCGCCGAUCUGCGCCGGUGUUGAGGCUGCCUAUUUCUUCGUCGUGUGUUCUUGCGAUACAUCUGCAUCCUCCGUUUCUGGCAUUCUCAUCAUGUUGGACAUUUUAAUGUUGAUGUUUUUCGCCAUCAUGGGACUCGUUUUCCUAUCCUACAUCAUUUACAUGUUAUGAUGUGUGUCCGGAUUUUGGUCCCAGCCGGUGGACGGGCCGGAGAUGUGGCGAGCCUCUCCUGCAUCCGCGGUACCCAUCGCUGACAAUGGGAGGAGUGCUCUUCUACAUGGAGGAGAAGGUGGGCUUUUACUGCCACUCUGGGGGAAAUGAAGAUGGCCAAUCAGAGGGGGAAGACCUUGUAGGACACAGACUGGCAGCCGAUGGACACAUCCCCUCUGUGUAGAUUCAGCCAACCUACUAUGAUGACCCGCUCGAGAUCGGGUCUCCUGUACCCUAGUAGGCUCCAAUUGGCAACCCCUGUACCCUACGCUCCAUCCCUUCUGACUCUUCUAAAAUUAUUAUCUGUGUGUAAAAUGGAUAUGAGUUAGUAAGGAUGUAAAGCUAUAAGGAGUAAGGUUGUAUUGCAGUAGUAUUGUUUGUGCCUAUUUGACUACACCGUGAGGGUUAACACUAACCCCCAAACUGUGCAAUGUACAAUAUCUCCAUGUUAAGUGCAUGGUUUUGUGUUAGGCUGUAUAAAUAAGUCCCAAUGAACUUUGAUUGCUAUUUUCUUAGUCAUAGUGGUUUUCUAUGAACAUGCUGAGAUGCUCUUGAUUGACCUCUACUUGAUAUGUCUUGAAACAGGAAUAUAUCCUCUCUGCCCUUUAACAGCUAUUAGCAACAGUCAGACAGAGAUUUAUAUUGACAUGGCAGUACUAACAAAAAAUGUAUACAUUAAAAGUAUUAAUAAGAAUCGUGUUAGGGGAGAGAGAUUGUCUUACGUCUGAGCUAAACUGUUUGUCAGGAGCUCUGUUGUCCUGGAAGAGAGGAAUUCCAUCUAAUUAUUGCAUUAAAUUGAUAGGAUCCGGAAGUAACUCACACAUCAUCACUGUUGGCACUGUAAUCAUGAAUGACUGAUUUAUCUUAAACAGUAUUGAUAACAGUUGAGUCGUCCACACACUGAAUGCAUGUUUUUAUCCCUCAGAUUCAUCACUGCAGUUAGUUUUUCUCUCACAAAACACAAGUGUUAUAUUUAUCAGAGCCAAGGCAAAUGGCGAUAGUUUUGUGUUAAGCAAAUAAAGAUUUGUACACGGAAA